AUAUAUAUAUAUAUAUAUAUAUAUAUAUAUAUAUAUAUAUAUAUAUACACACACACACAUAUAUAUAUGUAUAUAUAUAUACACACAUAUAUAUAAUAUGUAUAUUAUAUA
rnacentral:miRNA from 1 species